rnacentral:rRNA from 1 species
UACGGGGGGGAGCAAGCGUUGUUCGGAUUUACUGGGCGUAAAGGGCGCGUAGGCGGCCACCGCAAGUCGACUGUGAAAUCUCCGGGCUUAACUCGGAAAGGUCAGCCGAUACUGCGGGGCUAGAGUGCAGAAGGGGCAACUGGAAUUCUCGGUGUAGCGGUGAAAUGCGUAGAUAUCGAGAGGAACACCUGCGGCGAAGGCGGGUUGCUGGGCUGACACUGACGCUGAAGCGCGAAAGCCAGGGGAGCGAACGGG